UACGAAGGGUGCAAGCGUUACUCGGAAUUACUGGGCGUAAAGCGCACGUAGGCGGAUUUGUAAGUCGGGUGUGAAAGCCCUCAGCUUAACUGAGGAAGUGCGCCCGAAACUGCAGAGCUUGAAUACCGGAGAGGAUGGCGGAAUUCCCCAAGUAGAGGUGAAAUUCGUAGAUAUGGGGAGGAACACCGGUGGCGAAGGCGGCCAUCUGGACGGCUAUUGACGCUGAGACGCGAAAGCUAGGGGAGCAAACGGG
rnacentral:rRNA from 1 species